ACUAAAACAUGGAGUCUGGUUUUUUAAUUUCUACACGGUAUAUUUUCAGAAAAAAGAGGUGUUACUGCUGAUGGGUAUGCCACAGUUAGUGGAAAGCUGGAAAGGCUAUUAAAAAAAUAAGCCUAUUAGGUUAUUUAAUUUACAUCUGUUCCCAACAAUAAAUUAUUGCUGACAAUAAAAUAUGUUUCUGAGUAAAGUAUUAAAAAUGUUUUGCCAUACUAUGUAAUUUUUAUGAUUUUU